rnacentral:rRNA from 1 species
GGAUUUGGCGGCUGCUAUACAUGCAGUCGAACGCACAGCGAAAGGUGCUUGCACCUUUCAAGUGAGUGGCGAACGGGUGAGUAACACGUGGACAACCUGCCUCAAGGCUGGGGAUAACAUUUGGAAACAGAUGCUAAUACCGAAUAAAACUUAGUGUCGCAUGACACAAAGUUAAAAGGCGCUUCGGCGUCACCUAGAGAUGGAUCCGCGGUGCAUUAGUUAGUUGGUGGGGUAAAGGCCUACCAAGACAAUGAUGCAUAGCCGAGUUGAGAGACUGAUCGGCCACAUUGGGACUGAGACACGGCCCAAACUCCUACGGGAGGCUGCAGUAGGGAAUCUUCCACAAUGGGCGAAAGCCUGAUGGAGCAACGCCGCGUGUGUGAUGAAGGCUUUCGGGUCGUAAAGCACUGUUGUAUGGGAAGAACAGCUAGAAUAGGAAAUGAUUUUAGUUUGACGGUACCAUACCAGAAAGGGACGGCUAAAUACGUGCCAGCAGCCGCGGUAAUACGUAUGUCCCGAGCGUUAUCCGGAUUUAUUGGGCGUAAAGCGAGCGCAGACGGUUUAUUAAGUCUGAUGUGAAAGCCCGGAGCUCAACUCCGG